rnacentral:tRNA from 1 species
GCUCCUAUAGUUUAGUGGUAAAACGCAGCAAUGGUAAUGCUGAAAUUCAAGUUCGAUUCUUGGUAGGAGCACCA